CUUUCUAUGCACGCGCACAUUUUUUUCGAACGCUCUGCAGUUUAAAACUUUCUUUCUGCGCCUGCGAAUGCUCCGGCAAUGUCGGUAAAACUGAGGAAAGGAUACGAGGCUUGCUACGCGACUGUGUUAUGUGGCAACUCGGGGAGCAACACAAGGGCGAAAUAUUUCCGUUUCCCAGCGGACGAGAGAUGUGACAUAUGACGAAAUGACGCUAAAUGGGGAGUCCUGGCGGGGCUGACGUGGGAGCAGAUGUAUAACAGCUACGGCCUCUGCUAGGAUCACUUCAGACGAAGGGACUACGCCGACCGACCCUGUCGUGGUCGGCUGCGCCGACUGUUGGAAUGUAAGAGUGGUCCCUGAUCGAUGAAGAAGAGGACGACGACGAUGGGAGCACUAACGGACUCGGUCUAGUGGGUCAGAGAGAUUGGGCGACGAUGAAGAAGACGUGUCUUUGCUCUGCUGGUUUUUGAACAGAUUGUCCUGUUGUUCUUGAAGAACGUCUCCCUGUGUUCUGUUAACGUUGUACUGCGACACUGGUGGAGGUGCUGGGUACUGACCGCAUCUGAUGCAUCAGAGUCCUUCUGGGAGUCGUUCAUCUAGCCCGGACGCACUGUCACCAGUUACGACACCAGUGCAUCGCUUUAGUCGUCGACUGCUAGGCCUUGCCCCGGAGCUCUCUGCUCUUCAACCACCUCUCUCCAGAAGCUCCACACAUCUCGCAAUGGUUGAAACCAGUCCACCACAAGCACCCCAAAGCAGCCGGUUUUCCAGUCACCACAGGUAACCGUUCUGCAUCCGCUGGUUCCCGAUCGCUAUCGCGGUGCAGUCUUCGCAGACAUUGAAGACUGGCUUGACAAGUAUGAAUGUGUCGCACAGAUUAAUCAGUGGACUGAGCAGCAAAAGCUCUCCCACGUCUAUUUCGCCCUUGACGACAGUGGCUGUACUUGGUUCGAGAACCGCGAAGGUAGCCUCACGAGCUGGCAUGACUUUCGGCAGAAGAUCACGGAUACUUUUGCGAGUACCGACCGACGCGACCGGGCCUAGCAAAUGAUGGAGCUACGGGUGCAACAACCUAAUGAGUCAGUCACCAUGUACGCCGAGGACAUGGCCCACAUCUUUCGUAGAGCCGACCCAAACAUGACCGAAGAUAGGA